rnacentral:lncRNA from 13 species
AUGAUGUCAUAUGGAGGAGGCUUCCACACCUUUUCAGGAGCCCCUGUAAUCAUGUAUGAUUUAAAAAGAUACUGCCAUGAAGCUAAACUCUGCCAUGAAGCUAAACUCUGCCAUGAAGCUAAACUCUGCCAUGAAGCUAACUCCGACAUGAAGCUGACAUGCAGUUGCCUGGUUAUGAGCACCGGAAGACCAAGAGCCAAUAAUCUGCACUUCCUUCAGUUCCUGCACUUCCUUCACAGAAAAAAAUUAUGUAUCCAUGUAAUCAACAGUUAAUCAAUUAUAAAUUAAUUGACGUAUUCAAGAGUUGUAAAUUAUCAAAUUAGUUGCAUCUUAUUAUUAUAGUUAUCUCCAUAGCCAUAUGGAACCAAAAAAACAUGUUAAGCCACAUUCAAUGAGAACAGAUUAUGGUGUAAAUGUUCAUCUGUUACUGUAAGCUUUUUAGGCUGACAAAUUGUAAAUAAUAUUUAUUUAGUAUAUUGAAUUGCGUUGUUUUAGUAGCUUGGAGUUGAAUUCAAAACGGCAUCAACUAAUUUGUCUACCUCAAACCAUGUCUUGCCUCUGUGUUUCAAAUUAAGUUUACUUACUGUGAGGAAAUUCCCAAAGUCACCGAAAGGUGGCGUAUGAGUCACGUCUAACAAGUACGCUUAACUGCUCUUUGAAUGGCGCUAGCUUACCUUUCUACUGUUAAAUAAAUGAAACACGAAAAUACAAAAUGUUACAUGAAAUGUCAGUAAGAACUUUAGUUAAUGAAUUAAUGAUUAAACACAUUGCUCUCAGCAAUAUGCAUCGCACACGUCAAUUUUUCAUAAUCAAAAACACAAUAGGCCUCUUGAUUUCAACACAGUGUAGGCCUAUGUACAAUAUGACUUUACGAAUAGUUACACAGCUAAGAUAUGUUUAAAUUGUCUUUAACAUUAACCACACUGAAAUUCUAACUAAUUGAAAGAACACAUUUGAAUCUUGUACCUCAGAGGGAAAUUCAAAAUGUACCAAUAUCCUUGUUUUUCAAAUUUGAGGAAUCUCUUGCCUGCAUCGUCAUUGAAGAGCAAUGCGUUUCUUCGUUCUCGUUUAAGAUCCAGUCGAAAAUCCACGCAAAGUCUCCUUGGACCAUUUUAUAAUAAAACAAGUGUUUACCAUCAUUACUAGUACUUACACUCCUUUGUUCCUGUAGAACUUAUCAAUAUAAAAAAUAUAUCAAAUGAAACAAUACCUGAGUAUUCUGCUCCAGGUGUUUUGGGGAGCUUGGUGAGCAUUAGUUUUUUUCAUUUGCGAAGAUGAACUGGUUUGACUUAUACAUUUAUAUUUCAGAACAAAAGGAGACAACGCACUUAUUGCGAGGAAAAGUUUGCAGUGCGUUAGGUUUGCUGUGUUGAAUGUAAUGCUCCAAAUGAAUAAUAAAAAGAUGUGACGUGUGGAUAUGAUUUUCUCUUGAACAAAACGAAUGUGAAAAUGUGAAAAUGAAAGACAGAGAAGAGCCAGAGCAGAUGCGAGGAGAUUUGUGAAGGGGCUGUGUUCUCUCUCUCUCUCUCUCUCUCUCUCUCUCUCUCUCUCUAUUUCCCACGUCUUCUCCUCCCCUCUUUUUAUCCCUAUGUGACUCUUCAGUUAACAAACAUUAUUUCCUACUGCUUCUGUCCCUGUCAUUGUAAGUACAACAUUGUCUUAUUUACCUAUUGAAUGAAUGAAACCAUUGUCCUGCUGUUCUUGAAAGCGAGUGUUAAAGGUUUGGUCUUACUUUGUUUUGUCCGUCUGUGCUGUAUAUUACACACUUUUUCCUUUACAUUUUCAACAAGCUAUCGCAUUGUUCCUUAUGUCAUAUUGUUGUUGGGAUUCAUUUUAAUUGAUGAUGGUGCGGGAUAGUGAUUCUGUUGAGUGUAGAUGAAGACAGCGCGUAACUCAAGUGCCUCUCAGUGUGCUGCAACCUGUGCUUACCUCUUACCUGUAGCCUGUAUAUCGCCCCGCGGUGGACCGUUACUUUUCUUCACUGUAGCCUACCUACAUUUACAGCUGACAAAAGGUGUUGAACUAUUAUACCCCAGAACAGUUGUCCAUCUAAUAUCGAGCUAUAUAGCCUACUGUUGAAAAAUGUUUGUUCUAUAUGUCGUUAAUUAUGUCCGCUAGAGAUUGGUCGAUACAGCCCAUUGAUGAAGGCUAUGCAUUUGUUUCUUGUCUUUUACGAUUUUGAGGAUGCAUAGCAGGCUACUGUAGAACUCUUGAGAAGUGAUUUUACUCCUCUAAAUUUCAAUGGAAUUUAGCCUAUAAUAAAUGCCAGGCAUUCUAUUUAAGCCUUUGAAAUAUUUUAUAUUGAAUGUUCAAGGAGGCGGAAAACAUUUCCUUGGUAGGCCUAGUGACCCAAAUAUUAUUUUGAUAUAUAAAAUGGCACCUAAUUUACAUUUGAAAAUGUAGCCUAUUAUAUGUAAAGUAAUAAGUAAGUGUUCUGGUGGGCUACCAAUAUAUAUUUUUUUACAUUUAUGCUUCUCGAUUUAAAUACUUUUCUGAAACAAGUUGACCUAGCACUGGUUGUUUCAAUCAUUAAUAACAUGUUUUUUUGUUUGCAUAAACUGAAGGCUAUGUCAACCAAAACAAAACGUCAAAGUCUAUAAUCUAUUGUGUGUAUUGAAAAGACAAUAGCACAUCCAUCUCUUAACGUUGUGUGUAAAUAUCAUAAGAUGUUUUCUUAUGAAUGGGAAGCCAUGGGAUAAUCAAUGACUUGCAGUAAAUGAUUUGUUUAUUUUAUAAAAGUGAUAUAUUGAGUUAUAACUAACACCAUAAACCUUGCAGCUAUUGAUAAUAUUUUAUACAGAUCAGACGAAUAGAAACAGGCGGGCUCCCUAUUUGAGAGAGAUUAUCAUUUUAUAUUUGAAAUUAUGGGUAAUUUUUUGGGGGGGAAUCCUUUAUUAAUUGCCUUUU